GGUUCGAUUUCUGGCUCAGAUUGAACGCUGGCGUGAUGCUUUUACAUGCAAGUCGAACGGCAGCACGGACUUCGGUCUGGUGGCGAGUGGCGAACGGGUGAGGGCUGUAUCGGAACGUGCCUAGUAGCGGGGGAUAACUACGCGAAAGCGUAGCCAAUACCGCAUACGCCCUUCGGGGAAGCGGGGACCUUCGGGCCUCGCACUAUUAGAGCGGCUGAUAUCGGAUUAGCUAGUUGGUGGGGUAACGGCUCACCAAGGGCGACGAUCCGUAGCUGGUUUGAGAGGACGACCAGCCACACUGGGACUGAGACACGGCCCAGACUCCUACGGGAGGUGCAGUGGGGGAAUUUUGGACAAUGGGGGAAACCCUGAUCCAGCCAUCUCGCGUGUGUGCGAUGAAGGCCUUCGGGUUGUAAAGCACUUUUUGCAGGAAAGAAACGGCACGGGAUAAUACCCCGUGCAACUGACGGUACCUGCAGAAUAAGCACCGGCUAACUACGUGCCAGCAGCCGCGGUAAUACGUAGGGUGCAAGCGUUAAUCGGAAUUACUGGGCGCAAGCGUGGCGCAGGCGGUUCGGAAAGAAAGAUGUGAAAUCCCAGAGCUUAACUUUGGAACUGCAUUUUUAAUCAUAAUGAGCUAGCGAGUGUGUCAGAGGGAGGUGGAAUUCUCGCGUGUAGCAGUGAAGGAAUGCGUAGAUAUGCGGAGGAACACCUGAUGGCGAAGGCAGCCUCCUGGGAUAACACUGACGCUCAUGCACGAAAGCGUGGGGAGCAAACAGGAUUAGAUACCCUGGUAGUCCACGCCCUAAACGAUGUCAACUAGCUUGUUGGGGCCUUCGGGCCUUGGUAGCGCAGCUAACGCGUGAAGUUGACCGCCUGGGGAGUACGGUCGCAAGAUUAAAACUCAAAGAAUUGACGGGACUCCGCACAAGCGGUGGAUGAUGUGGAUUAAUUCGAUGCAACGCGAAAACCUUACCUACCCUUGACAUGUCUGAAUCCCGAAGAGAUUUGGGAGUGCUCGCAAGAGAACCGGAACACAGGAAGCGUAUGGCUGUCGCCGGCUCGUGUCGUGAGAUGUUGGUUAAGUCCUGGCAACGAGCGCAACCCUUGUCAUUAGUUGCUACGAAAGGGCACUCUAAUGAGACUGCCGGUGACAAACCGGAGAAGGUGGGGAUGACGUCAAGUCCUCAUGGCCCUUAUGGGUAGGGCUUCACACGUCAUACAAUGGUCGGGACAGAGGGUCGCCAACCCGCGAGGGGGAGCCAAUCCCAGAAACCCGAUCGAACCGGAUCGCAGUCUGCAACUCGACUGCGUGAAGUCGGAAUCGCUAGUAAUCGCGGAUCAGCAUGUCACAGGUGAAUACGUUCGGUCUUGUACACACCGCCCGUCACACCAUGGGAGUGGGUUUUACCAGAAGCAGUUAGCUCAACCGUAAGGAGGGCGAUUACCACGGUAGGAUUCAUGACUGGGGUGAAGUCGUAACAAGGUAGCUCUG
rnacentral:rRNA from 1 species